UACGUAGGGGGCAAGCGUUGUCCGGAAUUAUUGGGCGUAAAGCGCGCGCAGGCGGCCUUGUAAGUCUGGUGUUUAACCCAUGGGCUCAACUCAUGGUCGCACCGGAAACUGCAAAGCUUGAGUACAGAAGAGGAAAGUGGAAUUCCACGUGUAGCGGUGAAAUGCGUAGAUAUCUGGAGGAACACCGGUGGCGAAGGCGGCAUCCUGGACCGGCAUUGACGCUGAGGAGCGAAAGCCAGGGGAGCAAACGGG
rnacentral:rRNA from 1 species